UACGUAGGGUGCAAGCGUUGUCCGGAAUUAUUGGGCGUAAAGAGCUCGUAGGCGGUCUGUUGCGUCGGCUGUGAAAACCCGGGGCUCAACCCCGGGCCUGCAGCCGAUACGGGCAGACUAGAGUUCGGCAGGGGGAGACUGGAAUUCCUGGUGUAGCGGUGAAAUGCGCAGAUAUCAGGAGGAACACCGGUGGCGAAGGCGGGUCUCUGGGCCGAAACUGACGCUGAGGAGCGAAAGCGUGGGGAGCAAACAGG
rnacentral:rRNA from 1 species